GACGAACGCUGGCGGCGUGCCUAAUACAUGCAAGUCGAGCGAGUCUGCCUUGAAGAUCGGAGUGCUUGCACUCUGUGAAACAAGAUACAGGCUAGCGGCGGACGUGUGAGUAACACGUGGGUAACCUGCCCAAGAGAUCGGGAUAACACCUGGAAACAGAUGCUAAUACCGGAUAACAACAGAUGAUGCCUAUCAACUGUUUAAAAGAUGGUUCUGCUAUCACUCUUGGAUGGACCUGCGGUGCAUUAGCUAGUUGGUAGGGUAACGGCCUACCAAGGCGAUGAUGCAUAGCCGAGUUGAGAGACUGAUCGGCCACAUUGGGACUGAGACACGGCCCAAACUCCUACGGGAGGCAGCAGUAGGGAAUCUUCCACAAUGGACGCAAGUCUGAUGGAGCAACGCCGCGUGAGUGAAGAAGGGUUUCGGCUCGUAAAGCUCUGUUGUUGGUGAAGAAGGACAGGGGUAGUAACUGACCUUUGUUUGACGGUAAUCAAUGAGAAAGUCACGGCUAACUACGUG
rnacentral:rRNA from 1 species